CUGCUUUUAAAAUGUAUAAAAUGGUAAUAUUUCACUAUUUCACUAUACAUUACUAUCCAUAUUUUGUCUCUAGCGUGAUACCUUAUGUAAGUAAGAUUACUUCUGUUGGAAGGGGAAAGCAAAUUCAAACAGUUUUGAAUCUCUCUUGAAAUGUGCGAGAUCCCGGAACAUCUUGAAAAAUUCUUGUUUCAUUAAAACACCAGAGGCACCAAGCAAUGAGGAAGGCAAAUUUGCUUGACUGAAAAUAUAAUUCAAACCUAAAAAGUCAAAGAGCUUUGUCACAUCUUAUGACGACAUCACUGAGCAAGCCCUAGGUUAUGCAGCACUCAGGUUAUACAGAACUUGUGCAGAACUGUUUGUCUGAAAACUUUUGUUCACAGCCAAUGUUGCCUCUUCAAAAUUAUAAAUAGUUUCUCAAUAAUGUUUUCCAGUUGUCUGUGAUCUAAACAUUGGUUUCUUGACUGUAUUUCCAUGCGUGUCAUUUACCAGCAGUUCUGACAAAGAGUUGCUCAUAGUUCAAUCUGUAAAUUUUAAGGAUUUGGGCUAUUGAAAGAAUUUAAAUAUAUUACUGCUUUAUACUAUUUCUGAGCCACACCUCUGAAUCGUUGUCUUCCCUAUAAUAUUAGUUUGCUCUGAGUCUAAUCUUACUGACUUCAAAGGUUGUUUUGCAUUUGGUAAGGAUAGAUGAUCUUAAACUUCUUUAAACAAUAAAAAUCCAUGGGGGACAGACUACACAAACAGAGGGUAAACUGUCUAGGAUUUAAAAUCAAACCAGCCUUCUUUCUGGGUUGAUUUUUAAUCCUUUGUACUCAAGAUGCUCAGCCCAAAGUUCGUAGAUUCAAGUAGAAAAUAAAUAAUAACCUAAAAGACAGAUGUUGGCUGUGCAGGUUAGUUCUCUACUAUUAGAUCCAGAACUAGCUUUCUGUCUCUUGAUAUAGUCACUGUUGUGUGUGUGCAUGCACGCACGUGGGGAAGUAAUUUUCUAUUAUAUUAUAAAUCUUAUCUAUUAAAAAAGAACAAAAAGUAAGAAUUUCUGUCUUGAAACCAGACCUUUCCACUUUUUGGGGAGGGAUGCUGCCUCUGCCCAGCAUGUCAAUGCCAAGUAUAUACCCAAGCUGCUCUGAACAAAUAUUGGCCCUUUAGUGUUGAAUGCCAUAUAGGUAAAUUAGCCCUGCUGAAACAGGUGUAGGAAUGCAGCAAUUCUGCUUUUGGUACCCAACCUAGCUUAUUUGGAGCUAUCUCUAGCAACACUGCCACACAGGUAUAUUGUCGAUAUCCAGGUAACCUGGAUUACCAGACAGUGUUUCAUGCCUGAUACUGAAGGACUCCAGCAAAGAAUCUGCUCAACACCCAAAUAAACUGGGAAACUGUCAAUUUCUGAAGCAGGUUUGUGGCACUAGGAGCUUCUGCCAUAAACCUCUUCACAGGAUUAAUACUUUCCCCAUUUCCCUGGACCCUCAUCCUAAGAGUCUUUGAAAGAUUUAUUUGAGGCAUUCCCAUUAAACCUCUGUGGUCCUUGGUACAUUAGCUUCCUGCACUAAGUCAAAAGUGUCUCAGAUUGUCCUUCUUUAUUUAAGGCUCCAGGUUUUCACCUCAGGCCAAAGAAACAUCUUCUAGUGGCCUGGAGACCAAGAUAACCUCAUGGUUAUACAAGAGAGGCUUUAUUGAUUGCAUUUAAUGGCGAAUCUCUUGCCAACAGUCCAUCCACCUGCAUCUUAGAAUUAUUCAGGCAGGUUUGGAAUUUAGAUUGUAACCUAGUUUACUUAAACAAAUAUCUGCUCUUAUUGAGAAGUAGUAAAAUCAUAGUAGAGUCCUGACCCCUUUUCUGGUCCUUCCUAAAACCAGUUUCAUCAAUAAUUCUUCUGUGAAAACAUAGUUUUAAUAUUUUAGGCUCAUAUCCUCUCUGAGUCUAGACCUUUUCUUCUCCAAUAAUUUCUCCCUCUUUAUUGCAUCUUUUUUCACAGCAAUUACUUCAGCCAUGUGAGGUGGGCAGAAAAGCAUUUCUGAUCUCUCAGGAAAGAGCACAAUUCUUAGAAUGCUUCUUCAGAAAGGUAAAUGUUUCUAGAUUCCCCACAGCUAAGUGAAUAACACUCUAAACUAGUGGUCACCAACUGGUCAAUCCUGAUCGACAGGUCAUUUGGGAAGCCCCUGACAAUCGAUCUCUGGGUGUUUAGCACCCCCCAGACUGAGAUCGACUAUCAGAGGCUCCACGAGCGGGAGUGGCCGGCAUGCAGUUCAGGAGCGGCAGGACGUACAAGUGGCAGGAUGCAUGUGGCUGGGCUGACCCGCACCCCUUGCCGCCAGGGCUGGGAUGGGUAAGUGUGACAAUCCCCCUCCGCGCCCCCUGCCACUGGGAGUGGGGCCCCAGCCGGACCAGGGGAGGGUUGGAGCCCAGGUGGCACAUCCAGGUGUGCGGGGGGAGGGGCUCCCAACCUGCAAAGCCCAGUGCACAACGGCAGCUGCCUCACCCUAUGCACAGAUUGGGGGGCAUGUGCCCCCCAGUCCUCUGCCGGGGUGCAUACAGCAGCGGGAGCCCCCUGUGCACCUGGACGAGCUACCUGGGCUCCGACCAUUCCCCAGUCCAGCCCGGCCCAGCAGGGUACUCAUCCCUGCCCCACUUCCUCCCUUGCCCCACAUAGACUGGGCUGGGGGGCAGUAGAUCCUGGAUUGCCCUUUACUUCAAAAAGUGAUUUUUUACCUUUAAAAGGUUGGAGAUCACUGCUCUAAACUAUUUUGGCACAUUAAACCAUAGGAUUGUUUUUCCCAGAAACCUUACUUCAGAGGGCAUGAAAAUAGAAAAGGUGGGCAAGCCUGCCACCUGGUGGUCCUUGUAUAUCUUCUUGAAAGCUGAAUAGGUUUGAUAUGUUAUCCUUGCACUUGACAAGUGGGUGCUGAGUACUUAUGACUUGUAAAAGAGGUGGGUUGCCAAAGUGGUGUGUGUUUGUUUGUUUGUUUGUUUGUUACUUGGAGCCUGUUUAUCCAGACUGAAAUUAAUAGAAGUGAGUGACAUCUUUCCCUCCCCUCUUUAAAUUUGGUUUCUGAAACAAAUCAUUUAACAUGCUGGAGCGUUCCCAGACCUGUAUAUAUUAAGCUGUCAAUCAGAUAGUUAAGAUCUAUUAUUUUAAAAAGGUAAGCUCAAUCUAUAUUCUAUAGGUCUGCUAUGGUAUGUAGAUAAAGAUCCUCAUAAAGGGAAGAAAUCAACUGAAAAAUAUGUAGAAGGCAGUCUUGAGAGGGUGUGUAUCAGCAUGGUGAUGGAAGAAAUCUGCAGAAAGUCCUUGACCCACACUGAAUACUUUGUUUGCAGAUUUCUGUGUGAGACGUCCGUGGGCCUCCCGUCCGGUACCGCCCUUCGUCUGGUAGCCCCUCCCCCUCGUCCCGCCUGCCACGACUUGGAUGUUAAGUGAUUCGAAGGAGGGGUUCAGUGGAGAUCUUCUGCCAGAGGGGCUUGCCCAACGUAAAGGGGGAUACUCACGGUUGGGUCCUCAGAUGUUCCAUGGGGCUCCGCCACCCCUACACCCCGUCCACUCGCCAACCGGUCACUUGUUGAUGAGAUGGUCAUCCGCCGCUACUUGCAGCACUUCUUUCUGGCAGGCCUUCCCGAGGCCCACGGGCGUCCUCCGGCACCCUGGCUCUGUCUCCGCCUGACCCGGCUGCUAGCUCGGGUCCUUUUCUUUCUUCUCUCCCCUGCUCUCAAAAAUACUGCUCCUCAGGAAUGGGAGAACUUCCCGAGUUGCUGCUCUGCUCCCAGCAAACGCUGGGAGUCGCUCCUCUUGCCCUGACCAGGGCUUCCGGCU